AUUCGAUUAGAGUUUGAUCAUGGCUCAGAACGUACGCUGGCGGCACGCCUAACACAUGCAAGUCGAACGCAGUAGCAAUACUGAGUGGCAAACGGGUGAGUAUAAUGUAGGAAUCUGCCUUUUGGUUUGGAAUAACACGGGGAAACUUGUGCUAAUACCGAAUAAGCCUUCACAGGGAAAGUUUUAAUGCCGAAAGAUGAGCCUGCACUUGAUUAGCUAGUUGGUAAGGUAAAAGCUUACCAAGGCAACGAUCAAUAGCUGUUCUUAGAGGAAGACCAGCCACAUUGGGACUGAGACACGGCCCAGACUCCUACGGGAGGCAGCAGUGGGGAAUCUUGCACAAUGGGGGAAACCCUGAUGCAGCGAUGCCGCGUGAGUGAAGAAGGCCCUUGGGUUGUAAAACUCUUUCGUCGGGGAAGAAAAUGACUGUACCCGAAUAAGAAGGUCCGGCUAACUUCGUGCCAGCAGCCGCGGUAAUACGAAGGGACCUAGCGUAGUUCGGAAUUACUGGGCUUAAAGAGCUCGUAGGUGGUUAAAAAAGUUGAUGGUGAAAUCCCAAGGCUCAACCUUGGAACUGCCAUCAAAACUUUUUAGCUAGAGUGUGAUAGAGGUAAGUGGAAUUUCUAGUGUAGAGGUGAAAUUCGUAGAUAUCGAGAGGAACACCAGUGGCGAAGGCGAGUCUCUGGACGAUUCCUGACACUGAGGCACGAAAGCUAGGGGAGCAAACAGGAUUAGAUACCCUGGUAGUCCUAGCCGUAAACGGUGCACACUUGCUGUAGGAGGAUUCGACCCCUUCUGUGGCGGAGCAAACGCGUUAAGUGUGCCGCCUGGGGAGUACGGUCGCAAGAUUAAAACUCAAAGAAAUUGACGGGGGCCUGCACAAGCGGUGGAGUAUGUGGCUUAAUUCGAUGCAACGCGAAGAACCUUACCUGGCCUUGACAUGCAUCUCUAAGCGUGUGAAAGCACGUGACCCCUCGGGGAAUUUGCACAGGUGCUGCAUGGCUGUCGUCAGCUCGUGUCGUGAGAUGUUGGGUUAAGUCCCGCAACGAGCGCAACCCUUGUGUCCUGUUGCCACUUCCGCUAGCGCGGAAAGCACUCUGGACAGACUGCCUCGUCUCAACGAGGAGGAAGGUGGGGAUGACGUCAAGUCAGUAUGGCCCUUACGGCCAGGGCUGCACACGUACUACAAUGCCUGGUACAAUGGGAAGCAAUACCGUGAGGUGGAGCAAAUCCUCAAAACCAGGCCCAGUUCAGAUUGUAGUCUGCAACUCGAGU
rnacentral:rRNA from 1 species